ACUGUAUAAUUACAUAAUUAUGAUGGUAUAGAAGUGUUUAUUUGAUACAGAACCAACAGUGCGCCUUCACUGCUUUCGUGAUGGUGUAAGAAGAAAGGGUGAUCCAUAGUAACCGAACGGAUCGCAUAAUAUAGUCAUUUCGGUGAUUGGCGAUAGAUCAUUCAACUUUCUGACCUAUCAGCUUUCGACGGUAGUGUACUGGACUACCGUGGCAGCGACGGGUAACGGGGAACUAGGGUUCGAUUCAGGAGAGGGAGCCUGAGAAACGGCUACCACAUCUAAGGAAGGCAGCAGGCGCGCAAGUUACUCAAUCCUGACUCAGGGAGGUAGUGACAAGAAAUAACAACACUGGAAAUUGUAUUUCUAGCGAUUGGAAUGAUGGGAAUCCAAACCCCUUUCAUAGUAACAAUUGGAGGGCAAGUCUGGUGCCCGCAGCCGCGGUAAUCUCAGCUCCAAUAGCGUAUAUUAAAGUUGCUGCAGUUCAAAAGCUCGUAGUUGAAUAUCUGCUGGAAGCAAUGAGUCCGCCCUUUUCAUAAGGGUGUGCACUUGAUGAAUUCUGGCAUGAUUUCAUCCUAAUGAUGUGAUAAUAUCAUAUGAAGUUAAUUCCUAGUAUGGGUAUUACCCUUGUUGGGAUGACAGCUACUUUGAGAAAAUUAGAGUGUUUGAAGCAGGCUUUCGUUGCCUUGAAUACUGCAGCAUGGAAUAACAAUAUAGGAUUUCGGUUCUGUUAGUUUGUUGGUUUUCUGUAGGACUGAAAUAAUGAUUAAUAGGGACAGCUGGGGGCACUCGUCUUUAACUGUCAGAGGUGAAAUUCUUAGAUUUGUUAAAGACGAACUACUGCGAGGCAUUUGCC
rnacentral:rRNA from 1 species